GACGAACGCUGGCGGCGUGCCUAAUACAUGCAAGUCGAGCGGACAGAAGGGAGCUUGCUCCCGGAAGUUAGCGGCGGACGGGUGAGUAACACGUGGGCAACCUACCCUGUAGAUCGGGAUAACAUCGAGAAAUCGGUGCUAAUACCGGAUAAUCAUUUGAAGUGCAUGCUUCGAAUGUAAAAGAUGGCUCCGGCUAUCACUACGGGAUGGGCCCGCGGCGCAUUAGCAAGUUGGUAAGGUGAUGGCUUACCAAGGCAACGAUGCGUAGCCGACCUGAGAGGGUGAUCGGCCACACUGGGACUGAGACACGGCCCAGACUCCUACGGGAGGCAGCAGUAGGGAAUCUUCCGCAAUGGACGAAAGUCUGACGGAGCAACGCCGCGUGAGUGAUGAAGGUUUUCGGAUCGUAAAGCUCUGUUGUUAGGGAAGAACAAGUGCCGUUUGAAUAAGGCGGCACCUUGACGGUACCUAACCAGAAAGCCACGGCUAACUACGUGCCAGCCGCCGCCGUAAUAC
rnacentral:rRNA from 1 species